AACGAACGCUGGCGGCAUGCUUAACACAUGCAAGUCGAACGAGACCUCCCUGCUUAGUGGCUCACGGGUGCGUAACGCGUUGGAUUCCACCCUCAGGUUCGGCACCUCUUAUUGGAAUAUGCGCUAAUACCUGGUUCUGAUGUUAGUUCAAAGCAUUCUGUCCUGAGGAUGAGCCCGCGUAGGAUUAGGUAGUUGGUGAGGUAAACGCCCGCCAAGCCGACGAUCCUUGGCUGGUCUGAGAGGAUGAUCAGCCACAGUGGGACUGAGACACGGCCCAGACUCGUAAGGGGGGCAGCAGUGGGGAAUAUUGGACAAUGGGCGAUAGACUGAUCCAGCAAUGCCGAGUGAGUGAUGAAGGCCUUAGGGUUGUAAAGCUCUUUUACCCGGGAUGGUAAUGACAGUACCGGGAGAAUAAGCUCCGGCUAACUCCGUG
rnacentral:rRNA from 1 species